rnacentral:rRNA from 1 species
CAGCAGCCACGGUAAUACGAAGGGUGCAAGCGUUGUUCGGAAUUACUGGGCGUAAAGCGCACGUAGGCGGCUUGGUAAGUUAGAGGUGAAAGCCUGGAGCUCAACUCCAGAAUUGCCUUUAAGACUGCCGAGCUAGCAGGUGAGAGAGGUAAGUGGAAUUCCGAGUGUAGAGGUGAAAUUCGUAGAUAUUCGGAAGAACACCAGUGGCGAAGGCGGCUUACUGGCUCAUACUGGACGCUGAGGUGCGAAAGCGUGGGGAGCAAACAGGAUUAGAUACCCCCGUAGUCCCUGUCUCUUAUAC